GUGCUCGUGAGUUAGUAGACAAAUGGACUGGAACCUGGUGCGCUUCAGUGGUGUGCGGCUAAAUAAGUGUCCGAAAACAGUUCCAGGGCGUCGACGACCAUCUACCGCUGAGCGUUCGAUUUUAAAAAGGCCACCGUCACGUGUUCGGCAACCGAACGCGGACCACCAAGCCUUUCAACAAUUACUUGCGGUUAACCACAAGGUCUGGGUGGUUAAUGGGCUGCACACGACCCUGGUGGGGGGGUCGGGUGGUUU